GAUGAACGCUGGCGGCGUGCCUAAUACAUGCAAGUCGAACGCAUUGUGGUUGAAAUGAUAUGAAGAACUUGUUCAGAUUUGAUUUUCAACAUUGCAAUGAGUGGCGAACGGGUGAGUAACACGUGGGAAACCUACCUCUUAGCAGGGGAUAACAUUUGGAAACAAAUGCUAAUACCGUAUAAUAAUUAAAACCGCAUGGUUUUAGUUUAAAAAGAUGGUCUUGCUAAUCACUAAGAGAUGGUCCCGCGGUGUAUUAGUUAGUUGGUGAGGUAAUGGCUCACCAAGACAAUGAUACAUAGCCGAGUUGAGAGACUGACCGGCCACAAUGGGACUGAGACACGGCCCAUACUCCUACGGAGGCAGCAGUAGGGAA
rnacentral:rRNA from 1 species